rnacentral:rRNA from 1 species
UACGUAUGGUGCAAGCGUUAUCCGGAUUUACUGGGCGUAAAGGGAGCGCAGGCGGCGCGCCAAGUCUGAUGUGAAACCCCGGGGCUCAACCCCGGGCAUGCAUUGGAAACUGGCGGGCUGGAGUGCCGGAGAGGUAAGCGGAAUUCCUAGUGUAGCGGUGAAAUGCGUAGAUAUUAGGAGGAGCACCAGUGGCGAAGGCGGCUUACUGGACGGCAACUGACGCUGAGGCUCGGAAGCGUGGGGAGCAAACAGG